rnacentral:rRNA from 1 species
UGGGGGAUAUUGCACAAUGGGCGAAAGCCUGAUGCAGCGACGCCGCGUGGGGGAUGAAGGCCUUCGGGUUGUAAACUUCUUUUGCUCUGAACAAGGCAUGCUAAUGGGUGUGUUGAGUGUAGGGGUUGAUUAGCGCCGGCUAACUACGUGCCAGCAGCCGCGGUAAUACGUAGGGCGCGAGCGUUGUCCGGAAUUAUUGGGCGUAAAGGGCUUGUAGGUGGCUGGUUGCGUCUGUCGUGAAAGCUCAUGGCUUAACUGUGGGUUUGCGGUGGGUACGGGCUGGCUUGAGUGCAGUAGGGGAGGCUGGAAUUCCUGGUGUAGCGGUGGAAUGCGCAGAUAUCAGGAGGAAUACCGGUGGCGAAGGCGGGUCUCUGGGCUGUUACUGACACUGAGGAGCGAGAGCAUGGGGAGCGAACAGG